rnacentral:misc_RNA from 1 species
GCAGAUACCAAGAAGAUGCCAAUUACUACAAGGGUGAUUCAAGAGACACUAAGAGUUGCUUCAAUUUUGUCUUUUACUUUUAGAGAGGCUGUUGAGGGUGUUGAAUAUGAAGGAUAUCUGAUUCCAAAAGGAUGGAAAGUUUUGCCACUUUUCAGAAACAUUCACCAUAACCCAGAAAUCUUUCCAGAUCCUGAAAAGUUUGAUCCUACAAGAUUUGAGGUUGCACCAAAGCCCAAUACUUUUAUGCCAUUUGGCAAUGGGACCCACUCAUGUCCUGGAAAUGAGUUAGCUAAGCUGGAGAUUUUGGUCCUGCUCCAUCACCUGACCACUAAGUACAGAUGGUCUAUGGUGGGAACAGAUAAUGGGAUUCAGUAUGGCCCUUUUGCCCUUCCCCAGAAUGGUUUGCCCAUCAAAUUGUCUAAGAAAUCAUAGUUUUGCUUUCUAACUCCAAGAGAGAAAAAGGAACAAAGGGCAGUUUGUUUACAUGGAAAAAGCUUGCCUUUUAUAUGGGCUUUCUUCUUUCUUCAAAGGAAUGAUGAAGAGGGAGAGAGAGAGAGAGAGAGAGA